rnacentral:rRNA from 1 species
GGCUUAGGGAUACGUUCGUUGGGUAGGGGAGCGUUCUGUAAGCCUGUGAAGGUGUGUCGUGAGGCAUGCUGGAGGUAUCAGAAGUGCGAAUGCUGACAUAAGUAACGAUAAAGCGGGUGAAAAGCCCGCUCGCCGGAAGACCAAGGGUUCCUGUCCAACGUUAAUCGGGGCAGGGUGAGUCGACCCCUAAGGCGAGGCCGAAAGGCGUAGUCGAUGGGAAACGGGUUAAUAUUCCCGUACUUGGUGUUACUGCGAAGGGGGGACGGAGAAGGCUAUGUUGGCCGGGCGACGGUUGUCCCGGUUUAAGCGUGUAGGUGUGUGUUCCAGGUAAAUCCGGUUCACUUUAACACUGAGGCGUGACGACGAGGCACUACGGUGCUGAAGCAACAAAUGCCCUGCUUCCAGGAAAAGCCUCUAAGCAUCAGGUAACAUCAAAUCGUACCCCAAACCGACACAGGUGGUCAGGUAGAGAAUACCAAGGCGCUUGAGAGAACUCGGGUGAAGGAACUAGGCAAAAUGGUGCCGUAACUUCGGGAGAAGGCACGCUGACACGUAGGUGAAGUGAUUUACUCAUGGAGCUGAAGUCAGUCGAAGAUACCAGCUGGCUGCAACUGUUUAUUAAAAACACAGCACUGUGCAAACACGAAAGUGGACGUAUACGGUGUGACGCCUGCCCGGUGCCGGAAGGUUAAUUGAUGGGGUCAGCGCAAGCGAAGCUCCUGAUCGAAGCCCCGGUAAACGGCGGCCGUAACUAUAACGGUCCUAAGGUAGCGAAAUUCCUUGUCGGGUAAGUUCCGACCUGCACGAAUGGCGUAAUGAUGGCCAGGCUGUCUCCACCCGAGACUCAGUGAAAUUGAACUCGCUGUGAAGAUGCAGUGUACCCGCGGCAAGACGGAAAGACCCCGUGAACCUUUACUAUAGCUUGACACUGAACAUUGAGCCUUGAUGUGUAGGAUAGGUGGGAGGCUUUGAAGUGUGGACGCCAGUCUGCAUGGAGCCGACCUUGAAAUACCACCCUUUAAUGUUUGAUGUUCUAACGUGGACCCGUAAUCCGGGUUGCGGACAGUGUCUGGUGGGUAGUUUGACUGGGGCGGUCUCCUCCUAAAGAGUAACGGAGGAGCACGAAGGUUGGCUAAUCCUGGUCGGACAUCAGGAGGUUAGUGCAAUGGCAUAAGCCAGCUUGACUGCGAGCGUGACGGCGCGAGCAGGUGCGAAAGCAGGUCAUAGUGAUCCGGUGGUUCUGAAUGGAAGGGCCAUCGCUCAACGGAUAAAAGGUACUCCGGGGAUAACAGGCUGAUACCGCCCAAGAGUUCAUAUCGACGGCGGUGUUUGGCACCUCGAUGUCGGCUCAUCACAUCCUGGGGCUGAAGUAGGUCCCAAGGGUAUGGCUGUUCGCCAUUUAAAGUGGUACGCGAGCUGGGUUUAGAACGUCGUGAGACAGUUCGGUCCCUAUCUGCCGUGGGCGCUGGAGAACUGAGGGGGGCUGCUCCUAGUACGAGAGGACCGGAGUGGACGCAUCACUGGUGUUCGGGUUGUCAUGCCAAUGGCACUGCCCGGUAGCUAAAUGCGGAAGAGAUAAGUGCUGAAAGCAUCUAAGCACGAAACUUGCCCCGA